rnacentral:rRNA from 1 species
GACGAACGCUGGCGGCGUGCCUAAUACAUGCAAGUAGAACGCUGAAGAGAGGAGCUUGCUCUUCUUGGAUGAGUUGCGAACGGGUGAGUAACGCGUAGGUAACCUGCCUGGUAGCGGGGGAUAACUAUUGGAAACGAUAGCUAAUACCGCAUAAUAUUGACUAUUGCAUGAUAGUCAAUUAAAAGGUGCAAUUGCAUCACUACCAGAUGGACCUGCGUUGUAUUAGCUAGUUGGUGAGGUAACGGCUCACCAAGGCGACGAUACAUAGCCGACCUGAGAGGGUGAUCGGCCACACUGGGACUGAGACACGGCCCAGACUCCUACGGGAGGCAGCAGUAGGGAAUCUUCGGCAAUGGACGGAAGUCUGACCGAGCAACGCCGCGUGAGUGAAGAAGGUUUUCGGAUCGUAAAGCUCUGUUGUAAGAGAAGAACGAGUGUGAGAGUGGAAAGUUCACACUGUGGCGGUAUCUUACCAGAAAGGGACGGCUAACUACGUGCCAGCAGCCGCGGUAAUACGUAGGUCCCGAGCGUUGUCCGGAUUUAUUGGGCGUAAAGCGAGCGCAGGCGGUUAGAUAAGUCUGAAGUUAAAGGCUGUGGCUUAACCAUAGUACGCUUUGGAAACUGUUUAACUUGAGUGCAAGAGGGGAGAGUGGAAUUCCAUGUGUAGCGGUGAAAUGCGUAGAUAUAUGGAGGAACACCGGUGGCGAAAGCGGCUCUCUGGCUUGUAACUGACGCUGAGGCUCGAAAGCGUGGGGAGCAAACAGG